rnacentral:rRNA from 1 species
UACAGAGGUCUCAAGCGUUGUUCGGAUUCAUUGGGCGUAAAGGGUGCGUAGGUGGCAUGGUAAGUCUGAUGUGAAAUCCCGGGGCUCAACCCCGGAACUGCAUUCGAUACUGCUGAGCUAGAGUACUGGAGAGGAGAUUGGAAUUUACGGUGUAGCAGUGAAAUGCGUAGAUAUCGUAAGGAAGACCAGUGGCGAAGGCGGAGCUCUGGACAGUUACUGACACUGAGGCACGAAGGCCAGGGGAGCAAACGGG